AGAUGAGGUAGAGGAGCGAAAAACAUUAGUACAAUAUGUGAGAAUGACACCAAUGACCAUAUUGCAAAGGGCUUUUCGCCGAAGUAAAUGAAUAAGUCAUGAUUCAUUUGCUGGUAUUACUUUGAACAAGGGUAAUACUGUCAUUAUAGAGUUUUCUAUAAUGGAGGGCUACUGAUCGG
rnacentral:ncRNA from 2 species